rnacentral:rRNA from 1 species
AUUGAACGCUGGCGGCAUGCCUUACACAUGCAAGUCGAACGGUAACGGGCCUUCGGGUGCCGACGAGUGGCGAACGGGUGCGUAAUACAUCGGAACGUGCCCGAUCGUGGGGGAUAACGAGGCGAAAGCUUUGCUAAUACCGCAUACGAUCUACGGAUGAAAGCAGGGGACCGCAAGGCCUUGCGCGGACGGAGCGGCCGAUGGCAGAUUAGGUAGUUGGUGGGAUAAAAGCUUACCAAGCCGACGAUCUGUAGCUGGUCUGAGAGGAUGAUCAGCCACACUGGGACUGAGACACGGCCCAGACUCCUACGGGAGGCAGCAGUGGGGAAUUUUGGACAAUGGGCGCAAGCCUGAUCCAGCCAUGCCGCGUGCAGGAUGAAGGCCUUCGGGUUGUAAACUGCUUUUGUACGGAACGAAAAGCCUUCUUUUAAUACAGGGGGGUCAUGACGGUACCGUAAGAAUAAGCACCGGCUAACUACGUG